rnacentral:lncRNA from 1 species
GAGCGGCAGCGGGGCGGGGAGGAGGGGGCGGGCGCGCCCGGCGCGCUGAGGCGGCGGCCUAACCCCGCCGGUGACCGCCGAGGGGCUGCCGAGGGAGGGAGCCGCGCACCGCUGCCCCGGCCCCGCUGCCCGCCCCCGCCUCCUCCUCGCCCAAUGGGAGCGCGUCGAGGGCGCCCCGUCCUUCUGUCACCGCCCCGCGUGCCGCCAUCUCGCAGCGUAGGCCUGGUCACGACGCUGACACCGCCGGAGCUCAGUCACGACAGCGAACCCUCCGCCCUGUCACGACAUGGCAGCGCAGCCCCCAGAGCGCCUGCGGCAAAGCCGGGCUGGGAGGCGUCGGUGUGUUGGGAGGACUGGAGCUGGGAAAAAAAAGCCCUCAUUCUAAACAGCAAUACAAAAAAGAACAAAAAGGGGUUUUUAAGCUCCCAGGUUGUAUAUAAAAAUAAUUUUUAAAAGAGCUUUAUGGAAUAAAAAGGGUUUUGUUGGCAACAAGAGCUGUGGCACGCGCAGCGCGACGGCCUGCAGCAAAAGGCCGCUGCUGUGUGUGGGGGAUUCACCUGGAAAAAACUCAGUUUAUUAAAAAAAAUAAAAUAAAACGAGGUUCUUAAUUCUCCCAUUUAUGUCUGUGUAAAGUAAUCAUUCAAAGGAGGGGUUUCCAAUGGGAGAGGGCUGGGGGGCAUCCGGGACUCCUUUAUGUAAGCCCAGCGUUUAUCAAAGGAGAGAAAACAGAAUGAGGCCUUUAAUGCCUCCGUUCCUAUAAAAACAAAUGAUGUUUUCGCUGUCCCGGGGAGCGCUGCAGUGCUGUGGUCCACACUGUGACAGGGUGGAGCGCUGACGCUCAAUUUCUCCUUUAAUAAUUACUUUUUUUUCACUUUUUCUCUCCGCAGCUCCUGGGCCGCCACCAAGGCCCUCUCGGCACACGCGGGGCUCCACGCAGCGCAGCCGCCGUCCCAUC